GGGCCCGUAGCUCAGUCUGGUAGAGCACCCGGCUUUUAACCGGGCUGUCAGGGGUUCAAAUCCCCUCGGGCUCA
rnacentral:tRNA from 1 species